AUCAAUAAGCGGAGGAAAAGAAACUAACAAGGAUUCCCCUAGUAACGGCGAGUGAAGUGGGAAAAGCUCAACUUUGUAAUCUGGCUGUCUUUGGCAGUCCGAGUUGUAGUCUAGAGAAGUGUUAUCCGCGCAGACCCUUAUAGAUUUCGGUUGGAAUGCCAAGUCAAAGAGGGUGAGAAUCCCGUAUUUGAUAAGGUGGUCUUGUGCAUUGUGAUACGCUUUCAAAGAGUCGAGUUGUUUGGGAAUGCAGCUCAAAGUGGGUGGUAAAUUCCAUCUAAAGCUAAAUAUUGGCGAGAGACCGAUAGCGAACAAGUACCGUGAGGGAAAGAUGAAAAGCACUUUGGAAAGAGAAUGAAAUAGUACCUGAAAUUGCUGAAAGGGAAACGAGUGAAGUUAGACUUGCGCAGUUGGUAUUCAGCCUUGGCUUCGGUCUUGGUGCAUUUGCCUUCUAUUGCAGGCCAACAUCAGUUUACUUUGCGGUAAAAGGGUUUAGGGAAUGUGGCUUCUUCGGGAGUGUUAUAGCCCUUUACUGGAUGCCGAAUCGUAGACUGAGGAACGCAGCGCGCCUUUCGGGGCAAAGCUUUCAAGCUUCG
rnacentral:rRNA from 1 species